rnacentral:tRNA from 1 species
CGGGGUGUGGCGCAGCUGGUAGCGCGGUAGCUUUGGGAGCUUCAGGCCGCAGGUUCGAGACCUGCCACCCCGACCA